rnacentral:lncRNA from 1 species
UUCUGUCUUGAAUGCUGGAAUAGUCUUUCUUUAAAAAAUCUGUUUUAACGCUAGUUUAUACCAGUUUCGGAAAACGAGGGUUGUGGGAACAUACCCCAGGAGCGUGCUUUGGCUACAGUAGCACCCUUUUCCAUAUAGGGAAAUAAAAAAGAAGCGAAUCUCGCUGGCUGCAGGGCUCUGCAGACGCCAUUCCCCGGCCCAAGAGCUCCACCAUUUGGCGGCCGGGGACACUGCGGGCCUGAGCUCCUGAGGCUGCGGCGGGUCGGAGAGGAAUGGAGGCGGGGAGAGCGGCGGAAAGACGGCGAGGAUUUCUGGGCUCGGUCCAGAAAUCCCGGUUGGGAUUUCAACCAGGUCAUCCUCUGUGAAAAUAUCAAGCAACAAUGGAUGCAAAGUGGGUCUUGUUCCUUCAGCAGUUAAAUUGGUGGUAAACAAUAUUUGAGCAUAGUUCUGCAAACAUUUUCUACUCUUUUAUUGUAGUUUGUCCAGAGUGUAAUGGGAAACAGUGACAGAAGACAUCGACUACCUCUCAUCCAACUUGGAGAUCUGUCAUCUUCCUGGAGAAGUUUAACAAAUUGACACAAUUUUCUGACAAAUCUGCACUGUUUGUAAUUUUAUUGUUUUUAUAGAGAUGCUUACAUGUAUUGGUUGCAACAUUUUUUUUUUCAGUAAUUCAAUUUAAGCUGACUUUUCUGACAUAGCCCCACUUCUCUUUUUUUCCUCACAUCUGUUCUUCAUCACAUCGUGACUUAGUGAAAUUGUUCUCACUUUGCUGUACUUUUUCCCUAUACAGGGCUGUUUCUGUUUGAUGCUGUUAAUAUUGGUCCUCACAGAGCAGCUGCUGUCUCUGCCUCUGUCACUAGCCUUCCUGAAACCCACUGCCUGUAUGUUGUGGUUCUUCCUCCAUCCUUUUGAAGGGAUUAUGGACUCUUUUCACUGAGUCAUCUUUCACCAUCAGCUCUGCAGCUAGCUCCUCCCUGCUUGUGAGGAUCAUCCCUUGGAGACCCCUCUGCUACUUGUCUUUUCUGUCAUC